rnacentral:rRNA from 1 species
AGCGUAGGCGGCGCGGAAAGUUGGGUGUGAAAUCCCUCGGCUUAACCGAGGAACGGCGCCCAAAACUACCGUGCUCGAGGGAGAUAGAGGUGAGCGGAACUUAGGGUGGAGCGGUGAAAUGCGUUGAUAUCCUAAGGAACACCGGUGGCGAAAGCGGCUCACUGGAUCUCUUCUGACGCUGAUGCACGAAAGCCAGGGUAGAGGAAC